rnacentral:lncRNA from 12 species
UGACAUGGAGGGUAAUACAGACGGUGACACAGAGGGUGACAUGGGGGUGACAUGGGCAGUGACACAGAGGGUGACAUUGGGGUGACAUGGGCAGUGACACAGAGGGUGACAUGGGGGUGACACAGGUCGUAACAUGGGGUGACACGGGGGGUGGCACGGGGAUGACAGAGGGUGACGCAGAGGGUGACACGGGUGUGACGCAGAGGGUGACACGGGGCUGACAGAGGUGUCCCCGUCCCCGUCCCCGUCCCCGCGCCGCAGAAACGCCGCGAGCGGGAGAUGCAGCAGCAGAUGCUGCUGAGGGACGAGGAGACCAUGGAGCUGCGGGAGACCUACACGUCCCUGCAGCAGGAGGUGGAGAUCAAAACCAAGAAGCUGAAGAAGGUGAGAGCAUGGCAGGGCCAGGGCCAGGGUGAGGGGUCCCUCCCCAGGGCGCCCCGCCCCGGGCAGGGCUGAGCUGCUGCUCCCUGCCCCAGCUCUAUGCCAAGCUGCAGGCUGUCAAGGCUGAGAUCCAGGACCAGCACGACGAGUACAUCCGCGUGCGCCAGGACCUGGAGGAGGCCCAGAACGAGCAGACCCGCGAGCUGAAGCUCAAGUACUUGAUCAUCGAGAACUUCAUCCCUCCCGAGGAGAAGAACAAGAUCAUGAACCGCCUGUACUUCGACAGCGACGAGGACCAGUGGAAAUUCCAGCCACUGGUUCCCACUGGAGGGUACGGCCUGUGUCCCUGUCCUUGUCCCCAGGGCACAGUCCCUGUCCCUGUGUCCUUGUCCCCAUGUCCCUGUCCCUGUCCCUGUCCAUGAGCAUGAAUGGCCCCACGACAGGGGGGACCAGGGACUCUGGGAGGUGCCCAUGGAUGGGAAUCCCCUCCAAGCCCAGCCCCAUGGGAAGGGCUGCCCUUCCCUGGCUGGUGCAGCUUCCCUGGUCCCCUCUGUCCUUUGGGUCCCCUCAGCUCCC